UCGGUGAUGAGCGCGUUAUGGUCGAAC
rnacentral:sRNA from 1 species